AAUGUUGGUGCUGGCAGAACGCAUUGUAAAAACCACAACCCAGGCGAUCAAGAACUGCCUGAACGAACUUGUCACAUUCCCUCGUUGUACAGGCAAGGGCUUCUCUUGACAUAGCUGUGACUCAUGAGAGAGAAGAGUUGGUUCUGAGGACCUGCUCAGCAUGAGCGAGUAGCUUGCUGCAGUACUUUUUCCAUUAUUUUCUUGCUUCCAUUAGUGCGCCCCGCUUCCUGUGACGCCAUCCACACUUCCAUACCUCACUUUUGGCAGUAUAAAAGGUUGCCUCCUUGUAUUUUAGUUUCACACUGGUCGAAACUCUGGCGCUGAACACACCAGUGCUGAGAGAUUGAUCACCCGAAUCUCCAUCUCCACUACUUGUUUCCUCUGUCUUUCGACUCAAGAAGCCUGCUGAGCAGACGAAACUCAUCUAGUUAAGAAUCUGUUGCCUGGCUAUGGUGCCUACGUUAAGCUGCGGCGACCUGGUCUAGUACCGGGCCACAGGGGCGAUGACCCCAGGAACCGACUACAAGUAGGCUACAGGGAGUAUGUUGAAGAAUCACUGUGAAAGUCAACCUCAUUGUCAUAAGUUACCUUUAGUGCCAUUAGGAUGACAGUUAAGUUUAUAAUGCAGAAGCCCAGUAUUCAUUUCUUAUUCUCAACUAGGCUAUACUUAUCUUGCAAAGGUAAUUACACAUUCCAUACGACUUCCACACAACUGCGAGUGAAAUCGAACGCAAGCACACGGCCAUGAACGUUAAAGCCUUCAGACACAGCUGAAGUGAAUGUAGCUGGCUGAGACAGGACAGCGUCAGCAUGUACUGAGACCAUGAGAGAAGGACAGGUCCUCCGCCACCUGCAAUGGACUCUCUCACCCAGGAAGUGAGGCAGACCUCCAGGAUUACUGGCCGACCUUCACCAUGUACGACCAUCAUUCUUCCAUCUUCCCUACAACUCAACAGCUGCUGGUAAAUACGCAAUGCAGUGUUAUUGGUACAGCGUUUUACCCCCGAGUAAAUGUUAUCAAGAUGAAACACUAUGAAUAAAGAUGUCUUGUACACCUGUCGGUGUACCACCUCACUUUCAGUAUACACCAACAGCUACUGAACCCAUCUAUUUUGGAAUGCUUGAUGAUGUUCUUUGUCCUACUGAAAUCUCCCAGCUCAGUCUGACAGAUUUCAUUGUUUUGUGAAAUAAAUCCUCUUUGUAUAGUGGUUUAUGACAGAGGUAAAAGCUAGCCUUUGCUCCCACUGUGUAAGCAACUAACAGUGUGAGGUAGCCGCACACUGCUCAUGUAACUAAUUACACUUAAUAAAAAUUAAUAAAAACUUUCUUGCAACACCCAUCCUUUGACUAAUCCGUCCGGCUCCUAAGACUUCCUCCUCUUGCUCGCACUUAUUUUUUCCCCCUUCCUCCUUCAUUUUCUUAUAUUUCUUUACUAAAUUUCAUUGUUCUACGCUGUUCUCCACUACAGUUUCCCCCGCCUCUCUCCCUCGCUUCAGCACAUCACUCAGCAUAUUCACCCGAUGAACGCUUCGAGUGUGCCGAAGUAUUAGUAUCGAUAUCUGUGCGUAACGGUUAAUUCUGACGGUAUCAAUCUAAAACUGAGUACUGUAUCGACCGAGUUUGAUGGUAUCGAUUGACAGCAGAUAAUUCUGAUGGGUAAUUGAUAAGAUAAGAUAAGAUUUCGUUCGGAUUUUUAACCCCGGAGGGUUAGCCACCCAGGAUAACCCAAGAAAGUCAGUGCGUCAUCGAGGACUGUCUAACUUAUUUCCAUUGGGGUCCUUAAUCUUGUCCCCCAGGAUGCGACCCACACCAGUCGACUAACACCCAGGUACCUAUUUGCUGCUAGGUGAACAGGACAACAGGUGUAAGGAAACGUGUCGAAUGUUUCCACCCGGCGGGAAUCGAACCCGGGCCCUCCGUGUGUGAAGCGGGAGCUUUAGCCACCAGGCCACCGGGCCCCCGAAUAGCGGGUAACUUUGAUGGUAUGGUUAUCGGCUUGAACUUGAGUAUCUGUAUCGGGAAUUUUUUUAGUUUAAUCCCAUUACUGACGAACUGAUUAAACAGAACCAUACGUAUAUCAUGCGCAUUCUUAUAUAAACGUCUUAUCCAUAUCAACAAACAUGUCAUCUGCUACACCACACUUCUAGCUCCAGUAUACAAGUCUCUGGCCACGUGCCUCUAAUCUGAUCACCUCAAUAUUGCCUCUCUACUUCUAUAUCCAACGUUAUAAUUGCCUGUAUUUAACUGAAGAAGCCUUCUGAGCAAGUCGCACGUUUCGACAGUGAAGAUACUAUAGUGUUGCAAAUGUGUUAUACUUAUCACACCCACCUCGCAACGUAAAACUAUACUAUGCACAUACACGACAAUUAAAUCGAAAAGUUAACUAAAAUAACUGCUCUCACAGUGCGCAUUACUCGUAUCUAUAUAAUUUUGUAAGCUCUAAUAAUUAUCAUCCACAUCUGUGGUGCUCGUGGCUCGCUUCAUAACCUAACACCUGACACACUAAGUACCCGGACUAGAGUUGCCCGCUCCUUCCUUCCCGUAGCACGGGUGAAAUGUUGGGUAUGUUUCCUUACGCCUACUACUCAUGUUCACCUAGCAGUAAAGUAAGGAUGCUAGUCGCUUAUUGCGGAUCGCACCCUGGAAGAAGAUUAAGUAACCCCAGAGGAAAUUCUGCCAGUCACUAGGAGGAAGGUAACUCUUGUUUUAGUCAAGACUAACACCCUUACUUGUCUGUAGCAUUAUCACUGAAUAACUUGCUUAAACCAGCAUCAGUAUGCAUACAGCCA